UACGGGGGGGGUGGAAGCGUUGUUCGGAAUUACUGGGCGUAAAGGGCUCGUAGGCGGCCAACUAAGUCAGACGUGAAAUCCCUCAGCUUAACUGGGGAACUGCGUCUGAUACUGGAUGGCUUGGAUUUGGGAGAGGGAUGCGGAAUUCCAGGUGUAGCGGUGAAAUGCGUAGAGAUGUGGAGGAACACCGAUGGCGAAGGCAGCCCCCCUGGGUCAAGAUUGACGCUCAUGCACGAAAGCGUGGGGAGCAAACAGG
rnacentral:rRNA from 1 species